GGAUGUGAAAGCAAUCUGGCUGGUACAUCUGCUACCCCAUUGGUUGCCAGAGUUGACUCAGCUGAACUACCUAACAAGACAGGUGUUCCCUUCCUUCCUUACCACUCCAUGUGCAUCCCUACAGAAGCUGCAUGCUUGACUGAAGAAGGCAGUCUUCCCUGCUAGAGGAGGGCCAUUCUUCAGUCAAGGGUAUACGAGUAGCUGUGCUGCCUUGCUAGAACCUGCAAACCAGCUCUUUAGGUCCACUUGUAGGAGCAUGUAGGGUCGUUAAGUUUCCAAGGGCUCCAGACAUAUCCAAAAGGGGUGCUGCGUAUGGCCAUCUGCCUUUCUUU
rnacentral:snRNA from 1 species